rnacentral:rRNA from 1 species
GACCUCAAAUCAGGUAAGACUACCCGCUGAACUUAAGCAUAUCAAUAAGCGGAGGAAAAGAAACCAACAGGGAUUGCCUUAGUAACGGCGAGUGAAGCGGCAAAAGCUCAAAUUUGAAAUCUGGCAGUAAUGUCCGAGUUGUAAUUUGAAGAAGGUAACUUUGGUGAUAGCUCUUGCAUAUGUUCCUUGGAACAGGACGUCAUAGAGGGUGAGAAUCCCGUAUAUGGUGAGAUGACAUAUUACUAUGUAAAGUGCCUUCGAAGAGUCGAGUUGUUUGGGAAUGCAGCUCUAAGUGGGUGGUAAAUUCCAUCUAAAGCUAAAUAUUGGCGAGAGACCGAUAGCGAACAAGUACAGUGAUGGAAAGAUGAAAAGAACUUUGAAAAGAGAGUGAAAAAGUACGUGAAAUUGUUGAAAGGGAAGGGCUUGAAAUCAG